UACGUAGGGUUCGAGCGUUGUCCGGAAUUAUUGGGCGUAAAGGGCUCGUAGGCGGUUUGUCGCGUCGGGAGUGAAAACACACAGCUUAACUGUGUGCUUGCCUCCGAUACGGGCAGACUAGAGGUAUGCAGGGGAGAACGGAAUUCCUGGUGUAGCGGUGAAAUGCGCAGAUAUCAGGAGGAACACCGGUGGCGAAGGCGGUUCUCUGGGCAUUAACUGACGCUGAGGAGCGAGAGCAUGGGAGCGAACAGG
rnacentral:rRNA from 1 species